AUGACGAUCGAUUUGUCCACCAUGCCCGGGAGCUCCUCCUCCCGUCUCCUGGACGCCGCCGCGGCGAGGAAGGACAUGAACUUCUUCAAAAACCGCUACGUGCUUGGGCUCACCGGCGUCGCCGGAAUCGGCGGGUUCCUCUUUGGAUACGACACAGGUGUUAUAUCUGGAGCGCUUCUGUAUAUUCGGGACGAAUUUCCAGCUGUCAAAGACAAUCUAUUCUUGCAGGAGACAAUUGUUAGCAUGGCAUUACUUGGAGCCAUGCUUGGAGCAGCUGGGGGCGGUUGGAUAAAUGAUGCCUACGGUCGUAAAAAGUCCACUCUUCUUGCUGACCUGAUGUUCGCACUUGGUUCACUGGUUAUGUGUGCUGCUGGCGGUCCUUACAUUCUGAUACUUGGAAGGCUCUUUGUUGGAUUGGGUGUGGGAAUAGCAUCAGUCACUGCCCCAGUUUACAUCGCUGAAGCUGCUCCUUCAGAAAUCAGGGGAGGUUUGGUGUCAACUAAUGUCCUCAUGAUUACUGGCGGCCAAUUCUUCUCCUACUUGGUCAAUCUUGGCUUUACCGAGGUUCCUGGGACAUGGCGCUGGAUGCUCGGAGUAGCUGCUGUGCCAGCAAUCAUACAGUUUGUGCUGAUGCUUUUUCUGCCAGAAUCUCCCCGCUGGCUUUACCGGAAGGAUGAGAAAGCAAAAGCUAUUGCUGUCCUGGAGCAGAUAUAUGACUCUGGUCGUCUGGAGGAAGAGGUUGAGCUGCUUGCGUCGGCUUCCAUGCAUGAAUUCCAGUCUAACUGUACUGGGAGCUAUUUGGACAUAUUCAGGUUGAAGGAAUUAAGGCUAGCUUUUUUUGCUGGAGCUGGUCUUCAGGCCUUUCAGCAAUUUACUGGCAUCAACACCGUCAUGUACUACAGCCCCACGAUCGUCCAGAUGGCUGGGUUCACUUCCAACAGGCUGGCCCUGCUACUUUCCCUCAUCGUUGCCGCCAUGAAUGCGAGUGGAACCAUCGUCGGAAUCUACCUCAUCGACCGUUGUGGCCGCCGCCGCCUGGCCCUUACAAGCCUAGCCGGGGUCGUGCUCUCCCUUGUCAUCCUCGCCACGGCCUUCAUACUGCAGUCAUCCUCCAGCCUCUGCGGGAGCCUGUUCAGCGGCUCCUGCCAAGGCGUGCUGGGGUGGUUCGCGGUCGGAGGGCUCGCUCUGUACAUCGCCUUCUUCUCUCCGGGCAUGGGGCCGGUGCCAUGGGCCGUGAACUCGGAGAUCUACCCCGAGGCCUACCGCGGCAUGUGCGGCGGCAUGUCGGCCACCGUCAACUGGAUCUCCAACCUGAUCGUGGCGCAGACGUUCCUCUCGAUCGUGGGGUGGGUCGGCACCGGCCCAACAUUCAUAAUCAUCGCCGGGAUAGCCGUGAUGGCCUUGAUCUUCGUCGCCCUCUACGUGCCGGAGACCAAGGGCCUGAGCUUCGAGGAGGUGGACCUCCUGUGGAAAGAGCGGGCCUGGGGAAGCCAGGGCAGCCACGAGAGCCUCCUGGGUGCUGCGCCGUAA
rnacentral:rRNA from 1 species